GGUUCGCCCUUUGGUUUCUGGUACCACCUUGGCCACGAAGAAGAUACCCAGAGCAUUGAUUGCAGCAUAGAGAAUAAAGGGCCUGCAGCAUAAGUCAACCUCUUUACCUGCUGACUCAAAAAUGUUGCUGACGUAAAAGCAGACUCCAUUGAUUCCUCCAAAUUGCUGAAAGAACAUCAAUCCAACUCCGAUCUGGUAAGACAAGGAAAAAGGUUACAACAUGUAGUAGUUGAUUGUCAGAGUUCAUGAAGAAUAUUUCUUUUCAGAUGAGAUCAAUUGAAAAACAAUUUAAGGGAGGGGAAUGAUUUACAAUAACAGAGCGUAGAUAUCUUCUUUGAAACAAAUCUAGCAGUUUGGCUUUUGGGAGCCUCUCAAGAGUUUCUAUAUAAUCCUGUCAGACAAUAACAUACUGCACGUCAUAUUUUCUCUCUAAUACAAACAUUUUGUGAGUAUGGACAGACUCUAUGUUUAAGGAUUAAAAACCUUAAUUUCAGCCGCCUCAUGAGAUAUAUCUGUGUCCUUGCCACGAAGCGUCUUUAGUGCAGUCUCAAACUGCUUUUCACGGCCCAUCUUUGCCUGCAUUCAUGAGACAUGUUUAAUGUUAUUUCAAUGUGACAAAUCGAUUUGUGUGCAGCAAGAGAUAUUUAAUUUUUUUAUAUUCUAAUUGGUUACCAGCCAUCUGGGGGACUCUGGAAUGAGAAAUAGGCCAAGAAGCAGAAUAGCACAGGGGAUAAGUCCUGCCACCAACCAGUUCAUAGCUUUGACUGGCAGGUAAUCAAAUUGAGCUUUCUUUCUAAAUCUCAAGGGACAAAGAAAAUAUCACAGCAAGAUUCUGUUCAGAGAUCUGUCAAGCACCAUAAAUCAAUACUCAGAAGCAGAUGUUGACUUUUGACUCUGAUAGUUCCAAAUAUUACCAUGAUUUUACAGAUAAUAAUGCUUUGGAAGCUGUGUAUUUCAUGUGCUGGUAUACCAGUUACUGUUAAUGCAUUAAUCCAAAGGAAGGAAAAGUGGCACAUCUUCUCUUUGCUUCUGGUCUAAGUGGAGCCAAAGCCAAUGUCGUUUUGCUUCUCAUUAGUGUACUUUGUGUAUGUGGGUCAAUGUUCAUUGCAACUUGCAAAACAAGUUGAGUGUAGAUGGGAAUUGUGUUUAAUGAAGUUGACGUUAAUCCACAUAUGAUGUAGGAGGAUUGUA